rnacentral:rRNA from 1 species
AGAGUUUGAUCAUGGCUCAGAUUGAACGCUGGCGGCAGGCCUAACACAUGCAAGUCGAGCGGUAGCACAGAGAGCUUGCUCUCGGGUGACGAGCGGCGGACGGGUGAGUAAUGUCUGGGAAACUGCCUGAUGGAGGGGGAUAACUACUGGAAACGGUAGCUAAUACCGCAUAACGUCGCAAGACCAAAGUGGGGGACCUUUGGGCCUCAUGCCAUCAGAUGUGCCCAGAUGGGAUUAGCUAGUAGGUGGGGUAACGGCUCACCUAGGCGACGAUCCCUAGCUGGUCUGAGAGGAUGACCAGCCACACUGGAACUGAGACACGGUCCAGACUCCUACGGGAGGCAGCAGUGGGGAAUAUUGCACAAUGGGCGCAAGCCUGAUGCAGCCAUGCCGCGUGUGUGAAGAAGGCCUUCGGGUUGUAAAGCACUUUCAGCGGGGAGGAAGGCGAUAAGGUUAAUAACCUCAUCGAUUGACGUUACCCGCAGAAGAAGCACCGGCUAACUCCGUGCCAGCAGCCGCGGUAAUACGGAGGGUGCAAGCGUUAAUCGGAAUUACUGGGCGUAAAGCGCACGCAGGCGGUCUGUCAAGUCGGAUGUGAAAUCCCCGGGCUCAACCUGGGAACUGCAUUCGAAACUGGCAGGCUAGAGUCUUGUAGAGGGGGGUAGAAUUCCAGGUGUAGCGGUGAAAUGCGUAGAGAUCUGGAGGAAUACCGGUGGCGAAGGCGGCCCCCUGGACAAAGACUGACGCUCAGGUGCGAAAGCGUGGGGAGCAAACAGGAUUAGAUACCCUGGUAGUCCACGCCGUAAACGAUGUCGAUUUGGAGGUUGUGCCCUUGAGGCGUGGCUUCCGGAGCUAACGCGUUAAAUCGACCGCCUGGGGAGUACGGCCGCAAGGUUAAAACUCAAAUGAAUUGACGGGGGCCCGCACAAGCGGUGGAGCAUGUGGUUUAAUUCGAUGCAACGCGAAGAACCUUACCUGGUCUUGACAUCCACAGAACUUUCCAGAGAUGGAUUGGUGCCUUCGGGAACUGUGAGACAGGUGCUGCAUGGCUGUCGUCAGCUCGUGUUGUGAAAUGUUGGGUUAAGUCCCGCAACGAGCGCAACCCUUAUCCUUUGUUGCCAGCGGUUNGGCCGGGAACUCAAAGGAGACUGCCAGUGAUAAACUGGAGGAAGGUGGGGAUGACGUCAAGUCAUCAUGGCCCUUACGACCAGGGCUACACACGUGCUACAAUGGCAUAUACAAAGAGAAGCGACCUCGCGAGAGCAAGCGGACCUCAUAAAGUAUGUCGUAGUCCGGAUUGGAGUCUGCAACUCGACUCCAUGAAGUCGGAAUCGCUAGUAAUCGUAGAUCAGAAUGCUACGGUGAAUACGUUCCCGGGCCUUGUACACACCGCCCGUCACACCAUGGGAGUGGGUUGCAAAAGAAGUAGGUAGCUUAACCUUCGGGAGGGCGCUUACCACUUUGUGAUUCAUGACUGGGGUGAAGUCGUAACAAGGUAACCGUAGGGGAACCUGCGGUUGGAUCACCU